UACGUAGGGUGCAAGCGUUGUCCGGAAUUACUGGGCGUAAAGAGUUCGUAGGCGGUUUGUCGCGUCGUUUGUGAAAACUCACAGCUCAACUGUGAGCCUGCAGGCGAUACGGGCAGACUUGAGUACUGCAGGGGAGACUGGAAUUCCUGGUGUAGCGGUGAAAUGCGCAGAUAUCAGGAGGAACACCGGUGGCGAAGGCGGGAUCCUGGGCCAGUACUGACGCUGAGGAGCGAAAGCGUGGGGAGCAAACAGG
rnacentral:rRNA from 1 species